rnacentral:lncRNA from 13 species
GAAUAAAAAAAUUAGUUAGAAUACUUUUGAAAUUUCUGGCUGUCUCCUUUUCCUGACAGGCUCUUCAUGGAAAACAGUAAAACAAUUUUGACUGGAAAGACUUGGCUUAUAGAGGAAUUGUGAAAUCUUUGGCUCAUGGCCUCUUCCUCCAUCUUCAAA